UACGUAGGGGGCUAGCGUUGUCCGGAUUUAUUGGGCGUAAAGAGCGUGUAGGCGGCCAUGUAGGUCCGGUGUGAAAACUCGAGGCUUAACCUCGAGAUGUCAUCGGAAACCACUUGGCUAGAGUCCGGAAGAGGAGAGUGGAAUUCCUGGUGUAGCGGUGAAAUGCGCAGAUAUCAGGAGGAACACCGGUGGCGAAGGCGGGUCUCUGGGCCGAUACUGACGCUGAGGAGCGAAAGCGUGGGGAGCGAACAGG
rnacentral:rRNA from 1 species